rnacentral:rRNA from 1 species
UACAGAGGAGCCAAGCGUUGUUCGGAUUUACUGGGCGUAAAGGGCGUGUAGGUGGUAGAGUAAGUCUGGCGUGAAAUUUUGUCGGCUUAACCGGGAAAGGUCGUCGGAUACUGCUUAACUAGAGGACGGUAGAGGCGUGUGGAAUUCCGGGUGUAGUGGUGAAAUGCGUAGAGAUCCGGAGGAACACCAGUGGCGAAGGCGACACGCUGGGCCGUACCUGACACUGAUGCGCGACAGCAUGGGGAGCAAACAGG